rnacentral:lncRNA from 1 species
AUAUCGAAGAGGCACUUGUUUUUCCAGACGUGCCAGUGCCUGUCACAUGCACACUCAGCCUUGGAGAAAUUACGGGCAAUCUGUCGAAGAUCUCUUGUGAAGUAGAAAGCACGUGAAGUUUACUAUUAAAUCAUCCAACGGUUGCUGAUAAGAGUGAAAUAAUAGUACCGGUUAUUAAUUCCUAUAAAUGUCACCUUUCACCCUCCAUUGCAAGGUAAACAUACAUAACCUUUCUUCUUCUCCGAGAAUGCCUUUCCAACAAACCCUUUCGAGUCACUCAGUGUUCCUUAUUCCUUGGGGUACCACUGCAAACAACUCAUCCAAAGCAAAAGUAUUUCAUAUCAUGAAGGUUGAAAGCAAAAGUAUCUCAUAUCAUGCUUUCUCCCUAUCCUUUUCCUUGUCGUUGUUUUGGGACAAGGAGAAAGAGAGCAAUCAGCCAGCACUUGGUA